UCUCAAUCUUUCCUUCCUAUGGUGAACACCGAAAAACUCUGGACCUCUAACACCUUCUGCUUCCGCAAAAUGCUCCUCUAAAGCACCAUUGACGAGUGCCAAUCUUCAGGUCAAGCUCGCCGAAGAAGCGAAGUCAGAACACUUCCAAGCCCCCUCCUCGUUCCGCGACUUUAGUUUAGACUUUUCUCCGACCCCCUUUUCAGCUAAUUGUGCGAUUGUUAAUUAGCAGUGGGGAAGAUAAUACUCUUGGCCAAAUCGCAUCCGAAACACUUGCGAUCUGGAGUAUUAACAGUGUUAGGGAUGGUCAGAACCGGCUUUCUUUGAGGAGCUAUGAAAUGCGAACAUAUUUUGACUGCAUUAAUUUGGUUGGAUGAAAGAAAAAAAGGAGAGGAGGUCUUCGGCUGAACGGAAAAAGGGAGGAGGUUUGGAGAAAGGAAAAAGAAAACAGAGCAAAAAGAGAGAGAGAGAGCCAGAGAGUAGACGGAAGAAAAAUUGAAAAAAGAGGGGUGGAAAAAGGGAAGAGCUUCGACAAGAAAACAGAGCAAAGGAAAACCAAGAAUCGAAGGAAUCAGCAAGGAGUUGCUGUUGCCGCUGCUGCCACCAGAAUCCACCACCACCACCUGCAAGUCCUCACCGCAAAAGCUUGGAUGACUUUCGAUUUUCAGAGCACAUCACCUCAAAAACUGCUAUUAAUAGGCAGUUAAACACACAAUAUCGAAAUCAUCGAUAUAGGCUUCACAAGUAUUUCCAGAGUUUUGAAUCAAGGCAAGAAGCAUUGAGGCAAGUUCCUGAAGGUGUGAGUGAAGAAGAUUGGAAGUGGCUGGUCAGCUACUUUGAAAAUGAUGAAUUUAAGAAAAUUAGUGAACGUAACAAGCAAAAUCGUGCCAAAAAUGACUGCUACACUACUGUUGGCACAAAAUCGCUUGCAAGAGUUGUUGAGGAAAAGAAAAGGAAAGAAGAUGUCGAGCUUUCAGAGAUAGACAUGUUAGUUAAGUCGAAAGUCAAAGAAGUCAGGGGGGCUGGUAAAUGACAAAGCAAAAGAGACCUUGGACAAAAUGAGGGAAUUGCAGGCUACAACUUCAAUGACUAGCAAGGAAAUAUGCGAGCAAGAACUUGGUUACGUACCUGGACACAUCCGCGGUCGUAGUGCAACCAAGAAGCAAGCUGCUGAGGUAGAACGCUGGAGGCAUGAGAUUGAGGACAGCCGAAAAAGAGCAGAUGAAGCAGAAAAACGAGCUGCAGAAGUAACUCAACAAUUCACUGCUCAGCAAGAGUUGAUUAAGACCUUGCAACAGCAACAAACAGAAACAAGAAGCCUAUAUGAUGAGUUAGCUAACCAGCUGAAAGACUUGCGCAAAUAAGCAACUUUUGUGUCAGGUUCUAACACGAUUCCCAAGAAGAAGAAGCCAGUCAUUGCUGUGAAGAUGGUUUUUGAAUUGAAGACUACAAGGCCUAUCGUGCUCAUGUUUUGUUCUAGAUGGGAAUCGUGCUCAUAUUUUUGUAUAGAACUUUACUACUCUCUAUUGUGGAUGGGAAAUCACUAGUAUUGUAACUGAAUGGCUUAUUUUGGAUGGUGCAUGGUUUAUGACUCAUUUGAGGCAACAUUUAUAUAUAUAUGUA